rnacentral:rRNA from 1 species
CCUACGGGAGGCAGCAGUGGGGAAUCUUGCGCAAUGCGCGAAAGCGUGACGCAGCAACGCCGCGUGGGGGAAGACGGCCUUCGGGUUGUAAACCCCUUUCAGGAGGGACGAAGGUUCGCCGGUGAAUAGCCGUGCGGAUUGACGGUACCUCCACAAGAGGCUCCGGCUAACUACGUGCCAGCAGCCGCGGUAAUACGUAGGGAGCAAGCGUUGUCCGGAAUCAUCGGGCGUAAAGCGCGCGUAGGUGGCCUCAUAAGUCCGCUGUGAAAGUCAAAGGCUCAACCUUUGAAAGCCGGUGGAUACUGUGAGGCUAGAGUACGGAAGAGGCGAGUGGAAUUCCUGGUGUAGCGGUGGAAUGCGCAGAUAUCAGGAGGAACACCAAUAGCGAAGGCAGCUCGCUGGGACGUUACUGACACUGAGGCGCGAAAGCGUGGGGAGCGAACAGGAUUAGAUACCCUGGUAGUCCACGCCGUAAACGAUGGGUACUAGGUGUGGGAGGUGUCGACUCCUCCCGUGCCGUCGCUAACGCACUAAGUACCCCGCCUGGGGAGUACGGCCGCAAGGCUAAAACUCAAAGGAAUUGACGGGGGCCCGCACAAGCGGCGGAGCGUGCGGUUUAAUUCGACGCAACGCGCAGAACCUUACCAGGGCUUGACAUGGACCUGCACACGCCGGAAACGGUGGAGCCUUCGAGGGUGGUCCACAGGUGCUGCAUGGCUGUCGUCAGCUCGUGUCGUGAGAUGCUGGGUUAAGUCUCGCAACGAGCGCAACCCUCGUGGCUAGUUGUGUGAUGUUCUAGCCAGACUGCCGCGAGCCACGCGCGAGGAAGGUGGGCAUGACUUCCACUCACCUUGUCCCUUCCUUCUUGGGCGAUCGUCCGCUUCCUGGCGGUUAAUGUGCCUCGCUCAUCGCCAUCCGGAUCGCUCCCCUCCACCCUCCUUUACUUGGAAUUUUGGUUUUCAUUUUCCCCAUGU